rnacentral:rRNA from 1 species
AGAGUUUGAUCCUGGCUCAGAAUCAACGCUGGCGGCGUGCCUAACACAUGCAAGUCGAACGCGAAAGUCCCGCAAGGGAUCAGUAGAGUGGCGAACGGGUGAGUAACGCGUGGGUGAUCUACCUCCGAGUGGGGGAUAACGUCUCGAAAGGGACGCUAAUACCGCAUGACAUCCUGCCUUUGGACAGGCGGUGAUCAAAGCCGGGGACCGCAAGGCCUGGCGCUUGAAGAGGAGCCCGCGUCCGAUUAGCUAGUUGGCGGGGUAACGGCCCACCAAGGCUCCGAUCGGUAGCCGGCCUGAGAGGGCGGACGGCCACACUGGGACUGAGACACGGCCCAGACUCCUACGGGAGGCAGCAGUGGGGAAUUUUUCGCAAUGGGGGAAACCCUGACGAAGCAACGCCGCGUGGAGGAUGAAGGCCUUCGGGUCGUAAACUCCUGUCGACUGGGACGAAAGUAGUCUGACCUAAUACGUCGGGCUAUCGACUGUACCGGUGGAGGAAGCCACGGCUAACUCUGUGCCAGCAGCCGCGGUAAUACAGAGGUGGCAAGCGUUGUUCGGAAUUACUGGGCGUAAAGGGCGCGUAGGCGGCCUUGUAAGUCCCGUGUGAAAUCCCCUGGCUCAACUAGGGAAUUGCACGGGAGACUGCUUGGCUUGAGUUCGGGAGAGGGAAGCGGAAUUCCGGGUGUAGCGGUGAAAUGCGUAGAUAUCCGGAGGAACACCGGUGGCGAAGGCGGCUUCCUGGACCGACACUGACGCUGAGGCGCGAAAGCUAGGGGAGCAAACGGGAUUAGAUACCCCGGUAGUCCUAGCUGUAAA